rnacentral:rRNA from 1 species
UACGUAGGGGGCAAGCGUUGUCCGGAUUUAUUGGGCGUAAAGAGCGUGUAGGCGGUUAGGUAGGUCCGUUGUGAAAACUCGAGGCUCAACCUCGAGACGCCGAUGGAAACCAUCUAACUAGAGUCCGGAAGAGGAGAAUGGAAUUCCUGGUGUAGCGGUGAAAUGCGCAGAUAUCAGGAAGAACACCCGUGGCUAAGGCGGUUCUCUGGGACGGUACUGACGCUGAGACGCGAAAGCGUGGGGAGCAAACAGG